UACGUAGGGUGCAGCGUUGUCCGGAAUUAUUGGGCGUAAAGAGCUCGUAGGCGGUUUGUCGCGUCUGCUGUGAAAAUCCAGGGCUUAACCCUGGACCUGCAGUGGGUACGGGCAGACUAGAGUGCGGUAGGGGAGAUCGGAAUUCCUGGUGUAGCGGUGAAAUGCGCAGAUAUCAGGAGGAACACCGGUGGCGAAGGCGGAUCUCUGGGCCGUAACUGACGCUGAGGAGCGAAAGCAUGGGGAGCGAACAGG
rnacentral:rRNA from 1 species